rnacentral:rRNA from 1 species
UCGAGCGGAUGAUGGGAAGCUUGCUCCUGGAUUCAGCGGCGGACGGGUGAGUAAUGCCUAGGAAUCUGCCUGGUAGUGGGGGACAACGUUUCGAAAGGAACGCUAAUACCGCAUACGUCCUACGGGAGAAAGCAGGGGACCUUCGGGCCUUGCGCUAUCAGAUGAGCCUAGGUCGGAUUAGCUAGUUGGUGGGGUAAAGGCCUACCAAGGCGACGAUCCGUAACUGGUCUGAGAGGAUGAUCAGUCACACUGGAACUGAGACACGGUCCAGACUCCUACGGGAGGCAGCAGUGGGGAAUAUUGGACAAUGGGCGAAAGCCUGAUCCAGCCAUGCCGCGUGUGUGAAGAAGGUCUUCGGAUUGUAAAGCACUUUAAGUUGGGAGGAAGGGCAGUAAGCUAAUAUCUUGCUGUUUUGACGUUACCAACAGAAUAAGCACCGGCUAACUUCGUGCCAGCAGCCGCGGUAAUACGAAGGGUGCAAGCGUUAAUCGGAAUUACUGGGCGUAAAGCGCGCGUAGGUGGUUUGGUAAGAUGGAUGUGAAAUCCCCGGGCUCAACCUGGGAACUGCAUCCAUAACUGCCUGACUAGAGUACGGUAGAGGGUGGUGGAAUUUCCUGUGUAGCGGUGAAAUGCGUAGAUAUAG